AGGCGACCCAAGACCGUCCGCGGAGGGUAGGCUCGCGAGCUGACACCGCCGCCUUGGUCCUGCCGCGGCUGGCCUUACAUAGGGCGCACGACCAGGGAAGGUUGCGGGCCUGGGCCGCAAGGCGCGCCCCGCUGGCAGGCAGAGCGGCGCCGGCGAAGGCGGAGCUGGGGCGGGACGCGAGGGCGCGGGGCGGGCCGGGAGUGCACCUGAGGCCCGGGCGGGGCCUGUCCUGGGGACCUGGCGAGGCCCGGCCUCUGCCAGCCAAGCCUGCUGGGGACGACCGAGGUAGCCCGGGCUCGGCUUAGGAAGGCAGCGGGACUCGAGGCCUUGGGGUCCGAGUCCGAACUCGCUCCUCUAGCGCCGGGCGGGGAGCGAGUGGGAGAGCGGCCGCGAAGCUCCAGUGUUGAAAACGCACCCCUCCCAGCUUUUUGCAAGGCCUACUUGGGGGCGGAGAGACAAGCAAGCUGUCAUGUUAUAAGCAGCCCUUUGAGGGGUCCAUGUGAUGUCAAGGAAUGAAGUCUCUAGCCAACAUUUAAUGAGGAACUGAGGCCCACCAACAACCUUGAGUGAGCUUGGAAGUAGCUCCUUCAGCAUCAGUUGGGUGUCGAGAUGACUACUGACAGCUUGACUGCAACUUCAUGAGAGUCUUCUGGACCAGAACCACUCAGUUAAGUGGCUCCCAGAUUCCUGAUCCUCAGAAACUCUGAGAAAUAAUGAAUGUUGGUUGUUUUAAAAUGGUAAAUUUUGAGGUAUUAUGUUAUGUGGCAAUAGAUAGCUAAUAUAUAAAUUAUUUGAAUCAAACAAUACGUUAAAUUAAAGCUCAGAAGAAUAAACAUCUGUAAUUCCUUAAUUUGUUUUCCCUUCUAUUCUACAGAAUAGAAUUUUACAGAUGAACCUUGUAGUUACUUGUGCAAUAAGAGACAGUAUGUUGUAUUGAUUAAGUGCAGAGCCUCUGGAUGUAUGAUAGAAGAAAGACCAAUAUUCAAUUGCUUUCUUCUUCAAUUCCAAGCUUGUGAGCUUGAGCAAAUUUUAAAAGUGUUUUAAGCCUCAGUUUCCUGGGAUGGUAGUGCUUAGCUCGAGCUCCUAGCAUAUAUUAACUACAAACUAAAUAUUAGCUAUAAUUAUUAGUUUUACUUUGAUUAUUGACUCUAAAUAAAUACCUUAAGAACUUUGUGUUCUCCACAGAUUUGGAUAUGUCUGGACGUUAUGUAGGCUGGAGUAGUCAGCAAUUACUUGCCUGAGGAAGGGAAGGCCUCCUCCUUUAAGAAAAGAAUAGGCUGGGUGCGGUGGCUCAUACUUGUAAUCCCAGCAUUUUGGGAGGCUGAGGAGGGUGGAUCACCUGAGGUCAGGAGUUUGAGACCAGCCUAAGGAACAUGGUGAAACCCUGUCUCUACUAAAAAUACAAAAAUUAGCCAAUUGUGGCACGCGCCUGUAGUCCCGGCUACUCAGGAGGCUGAGGUGAGAGGAUUGCCUGAGCCUGGGAGGUGGAGGUUGCAGUGAGCCGAGAUCGCGCCACUGCACUCCAGCCUGGGCAACAGAGUAAGACUCCGUCUCAAAAAAAAAAAAAAGAAAGAAAGAAAAGAGUAGAAGGCCCAAGCUUAGUCCAAUAUUAUAGCUUCAGCAUCAGAGUAGAGAAUGAUUCAGAGCAUCUGUCCAGUGUCUGCUGUAGAUCCCUCAAAUCCGUGUUUGGACGCUUCUGGUAAGGGGUGUAUGGCAGAUGCACCCGACAGAUGCACUUGGCAGCAAUAACUUAUGCAUACCUGAAGAAUGACCCUAUGGUCUAAGAAGAAUGUGUGUUCAGAGCUCCAAGCUAAGGAAUCUGGGAGUGGCCAACCCAGAUAUUUCAUUUCUUAUCUAUGACGAACUUCUGAACUGCUCCCACCCCCAGCCCAUCCUGUAGAAUGCAGGCCCUACGAGGCGAUCAAAGCCCUUUGUUUUAGGUUAAAUGAAGGUUGCCUGGUGGAGGUUGCUAGGGGAAAGGUGUUAAGUAAAAAUGUUAUAUAAACUGCAUGGUGUUUUUUGUUUGUUUUUGUUUUUUUGAGACAGAGUUUUUGCUCUUGUUGCCCAGGCUGGAGUGCAAUGGUGCAAUCUCGGCUCACUGCAACCUCCGCCUCCUGGGUUCAAGUGAUUCUGCUGUCUCAGCCUCCCAAGUAGCUGGGAUUACAGGUGCCCACCACCAGGCCCGGCUAAUUUUUUGUAUUUAGUAGAGUCAGGGUUUCCCCAUGUUGGUCAGCCUGGUCUCAAACUCCUGACUUCAGGUGAUCCACCUGCCUCAGCCUCCCAAAGCGCUGGGAUUACAGGUAUGAGCCACCACGCCUGGCCAAUUGCAUGCUUUUUACAAGGAGUUUUGGUUCUCCUGCCCAGCCCACUGCCACUGGACUGCCCUGUAUUGUAAGUCCCCUCAAUAAACCUUAUGUCUCAGUUUCUGGUUCUAGGUCUCUUCUUCAGCCUCUUGAACAUGGUGCCAUCCCUACUGAAGUCAAUGGGGUCUGACAUGACUAGGGGAACUUGAACAAAAUCUGAAAUAGCUGUUUUUUUCUUGCCAAAAUCACUGUAAGACAUUAUUUGCCUCAGCCCCAGAACAUUGAAUUAUAUGACCCAAGAGUGGAGAAACAGAGAAGUCUGUCUGUGUCAUCAGACAAUAUCCCAAGUGGGAUGUCAUCACCCCAAUGCAUAUUGGCAUUUGGGCAGAGUAGAGCAGCGUCAGCCUAGCAAGACUUGGCACAAUUCUGUUGGAUUGCACAAUAGAAUGAGAAAUCACAUUUCUGCUGUUAUGUGAUUCUGCAUUUUAACUCCAGUUUGUUUGGCCUGGACAGACAGGUAACUAGCCAUGAAGACAAUGGACCUUGAAACAUUCUGAAGACUAGAAAAAGUAUGUAAUAAAAUACUUUGAACAACUGUUUAAGGA
rnacentral:lncRNA from 1 species